rnacentral:rRNA from 1 species
GAUGAACGCUGGCGGCGUGCCUAAUACAUGCAAGUCGAGCGAACGGACGAGAAGCUUGCUUCUCUGAUGUUAGCGGCGGACGGGUGAGUAACACGUGGAUAACCUACCUAUAAGACUGGGAUAACUUCGGGAAACCGGAGCUAAUACCGGAUAAUAUUUUGAACCGCAUGGUUCAAAAGUGAAAGACGGUCUUGCUGUCACUUAUAGAUGGAUCCGCGCUGCAUUAGCUAGUUGGUAAGGUAACGGCUUACCAAGGCAACGAUGCAUAGCCGACCUGAGAGGGUGAUCGGCCACACUGGAACUGAGACACGGUCCAGACUCCUACGGGAGGCAGCAGUAGGGAAUCUUCCGCAAUGGGCGAAAGCCUGACGGAGCAACGCCGCGUGAGUGAUGAAGGUCUUCGGAUCGUAAAACUCUGUUAUUAGGGAAGAACAUAUGUGUAAGUUACUGUGCACAUCUUGACGGUACCUAAUCAGAAAGCCACGGCUAACUACGUG